CCGGGGGAUUGGCCACCCUCCCAACCCACUUUGCAGCCCAGCGCAGCUGGCGGGGUCUCUGGGGUAGUGAACCUCUCUGUCUCGCGGAUUUGGGCGGGCGCCGCCGCGGCUGCUUUGUCGCGGGUUCGGGGCCGGCCCGCCUGCGGCUGCGGGAGCCCAGCCCGGCCCGACCCGGGGACCCGGGAGUCUGUCGCCGACGUGUGCGGGCUGCAGCGGCCUGAGCUCUACGCGCAGUGGAUGUAGAAAAGGGAUCGGUAUCCACAAACAAGAGGACAAAAUCACUCUACUUGGCAUUAGGAAACUUCUACAGAAGCUCAAGGUCUGUCAUUUACUCCGGUGAAGCUUUUGGAGGGAAAUUUUCCUCUUCGCAGUCAAAAAUGACACUGGACCCUUCUAGGCUGACAGAGGCACAUGGUAAGUGGAGAUGUGUGGAUGCCAACAUAACCAAAUACAGAAGUCAUGACGGACACCAGAUGCCAGCCUGGUGGGUCACACGUUCCACUCUGACCUUGUCCAUGGACGACAACUCUGGUGUUUAUAUCUUAGGUGGUAAUAAGGUAUAUAAGGCAUUCCCACCUAAAUGGUCAGGGUGAUGUGCACGUGGCUACCUGGCAGCUGCCCUCACCAGGUGUCCCACUUUAAAUGCUAACCAAAUCACAAACGCAGGCUCCUUAAUAAACCAAGUAGCACCACAUAGAUGCACCCAACCAGACAUCAUGGACAGUCCACCCAUUUAUCACAACACCAAUUCAAUAAGGACCCUUUCUCCGGGUUUGGGAAUGUCGCAUCUAGAAGAAACAAUUCUAAACAUUUCCAAAGUGACAGAACAAGGAUUCGCUGCCGCAGUGUAGACCUUGGAAACCCGCCAAUCGAGAGUUAGCAGUUUACUCUCUGCACUCCAGAAUCACCAUCUGGAUUUAUCUGCUGCUCAACAAGGAAGAACAUGUACAAUCAUGGGCAAACAAUGCUGCCUCUAUACAACUCAGAAGAAGUCCUGUUUCAUCUGAACCGUGUGAAGGGACACGUCAACAAUCUACAUCGAACGAAUGAAUUACGGUUUAAUUGGACUGACCUAUUCUCAGGCGUGAGAGACCGGUUCAGUGGCCCAUGGGGCCAUGUGUUUGGAUUUGUUCUUCCCUGCUUAUUCGUCUUUGUCCUGAUCUGUGUUUCCGUUCACAGAUCUCUUACCUCCCGAGUUCCAGCCCGAGUCUCCUCCUCACAGCAGUACACUGGGCUGCUAGCUCGUGAAACUUCAUGUCAGGGUUCAAACAAGGAACUCGGGGGGCUAGCCCCACCAGGAGGGCAUAAAGACCGCUUUAAACUGAGAACAUCUGAACAAACAGCAGCUGCGGAAAGAGGCCUACUUUAAACUUCGCUUUGAUGACUAAAGCAGGCCUUUCUGAGAAUUCAGCUGUCAUAAACCCCUCUCCUAGGGAGUCUUUUGGAAGGGAGGAGCCUGAUUUGGUAUCAGGACAUCCCGAAGAACUGUGUUAAGUCCUAUCUGCUCCUUCCAUACUUUCCCACUGAAGCCUUAAUACCCCAUUCCCUAUCCCAUUAAGCUGGUAGAUAAAACCUCAUCCCUGGCUGUUCUGACAGCCGCCCUUUAUAGCCUACUCCCACAUACAUAUAUAAUAAACUUUCCUCCUAUUAAUCUGUUCAUUCACAGGCCCCCAGCCACUUGAACCUGAGAUCCUGUAUGUUUAAUAACUGAAGUUAAGUUAUUAUAAGAAGACUCUCUUUACUUCCCUUCAGGCGAAAGCUAUAAACCACUGAAGCUGAGAGGGUUUGGUGUGCUCUCCUGAUCCGUGUGCAUUUAAUCUCCAGUCUGAAGGGGAAGUUUGUCUGGUGUGAGGUGUAGCCAUCUGAUCUCCCGUGGCCUGCAGCCGGGAGGAUUGUAGGGACAAGGUAACAUUUAUUGUAUUGAACACGUCAACUGUCCGAGCCCAUAGUGAGGUCCUUCCGUUUAUUAAAUCCUCCCCAUUUGGCAGGUGAAUAAACUCAAAGGGUAGACAACUUGCUAAAGAUUAUAUCAUUACUAAAAACAAGAACAAGACGCAGAACGGGGUGUAUGGUGUGCUCCCUUCCAUAAAGCAGAGGAAAUAAUGUGUGUAUGUCUACAUAUGUGUAGUUACUCAGUUUUGCAAAUAGACCACUCAGGAAGGGUAGAUAAGCCAGAAGCUACUGGAAGUGAUUAUGUUAAGGGGCAUGGGCAGUGAGAGUCCCACCCCCUUUUUUAAAAGUUGAAUAUAAACAAACUGGUGAACAUUUUAGCAAACCGACAACUUACAUAGAGAAAAUAGUACUUUCAA